rnacentral:tRNA from 1 species
GCGCCCAUAGCUCAGCUGGAUAGAGCAACAGCCUUCUAAGCUGUAGGUCCUAGGUUCAAAUCCUAGUGGGCGUA